rnacentral:rRNA from 1 species
UACGGAAGGCAACAGUGGGGAAUAUUGCACAAUGGGCGAAAGCCUGAUGCAGCUAUGCCGCGUGUAUGAAGAAGGCCUUAGGGUUGUAAAGUACUUUCAUCGGGGAGGAAAAACAAAACUAAUAAUUUUAUUUCUUGACGUUACCCGAAAAAGAAGCACCGGCUAACUCCGUGCCAGCAGCCGCGGUAAUACGGAGGGUGCUAGCGUUAAUCAGAAUUACUGGGCGUAAAGAGCACGUAGGUGGUUUUUUUAAGUCAGAUGUGAAAUCCCUGGGCUUAACCUAGGAACUGCAUUUUGAAACUGAAAUACUAGAGUAUCGUAGAGGGAGGUAGAAUUCUAGGUGUAGCGGUGAAAUGCGUAGAUAUCUGGAGGAAUACCUGUGGCGAAAGCGGCCUCCUAAACGAAUACUGACACUGAGGGUGCGAAAGCGUGGGGAGCAAACAGGGAUUAGAUACC